CUCGUCUCCGGACGAUACGAUGGCUCGGAGGUCCUCCUCCUCCUCGAGCUGCCACCGGUACCUCCACUCCGCCUACUACCUUAGGCACCCGAUGCGGCUCGCCUUCGUCUUCGUCAUCUUCGUUAUUGCCAUCUGGGAUUGGCCUUCCCUACCUAAUCCGGGAGCAUGAGGCGAGGGACGCCCCAUUCUUCGUUCCGCUCGUAUGAUUCUUUCUUCCCUAAUUUUUGUCUUUGCUUGAUUCUGAUCGUUGGCUGGAUUUGAAGUUCUUGCUGAUUGGAUCAUCUUAUAUUGCUUGCCUAUAAAAACCUACACACCAGAGUUCUUUACCUUUAAUGAGAAAAAAAAAAAAAAGGCUGGAACAAGAAUGGUCUAUCUGUGGAGCCAUCAUUUCUUCUAUGUUGGUUGGAACUGGAGAGCCCCUUAACUUUUCUGGCUGAUAUUACCCAACUUGGGGAAGAAUUGAACCGAUUGCACGAUCAUCUACAGAAAGUAGACGGGUGGUGGUCAUGCGGGGCGAAGUUUCCUCUGGUACAAAUGACAAACUUAUCAAUGAAUUUGAUCUUGUUAACAAUCAACGUAGAGAAAAGGUUAAGGUGACUACGCUUCUUUCGGGUUUGUUUUGAAUACAAUAGCCUCUCAAGGCUAUAGUCAACUAACUUCUUUUCUUGGCUUUUCAAUCUUAAGAUUCAAUUGUAAUUACGUGAUGUCUUUCCCUCUAUGACCGGUCGCAAUCAAAGAGUGGUGUGAAUAGUUUUUGUGGUCUUGGAGCAACCCUUGUGGACUCUCUCCAUGCACUAUACGUAAUGGGUCUAAAAGAUGAAUUUGAGAAGGCUAGAGAGAGGACGCUGUGACAUCCAACGACGGGUGUGUCAGGGCCUGCAGUUGGCACGCCUUGGGGGGACCUCCUCCUCCUCCACCACCACCACGAUGGCGUCAGGCGUACGGACGGCUGCAGCGGAGCAGGUACGGCGGCUCGUCCGCCCUUCCGUGGAAACACGGACAGGAGCAAGUGACGCGUCGGAGUCACGUGAGCCGAGAUGCGUUCCGUCGUCGGCCUCCUCGGGCAAGCCCACCACCAACCUGUCGCUGCUCGCGAUACGGCUACCUCGCGUGAAACCGACGGCGGCCGUGGGAGUAGGUGGCGUGUCGGCGUCACGUGAUGGGCGCAACAUGACUGCUACUACGUACGGUCGUAAGUGGAUCUUACCUUCCACGUGCGAGGCAGGUCUCUGAUCCAGUAUUUGGACUGCUGCAUCUACCGAAAGGGAAUGCGUCGAUGAAUGAUGGUCCAUAUUAGAAUGCGUAUAAUCCUAAUCUCUGUAUAAUUCCAAUGCAAGCAGACACAUUUGAUGCAUAACUUGGAACGUGUUCUCUUACACGAAUAUUAUUGUGCAACUUCAAGCCGUG